rnacentral:rRNA from 1 species
AUCUAGCGAAACCGCAGCAAGGGGAACGGACCUUGAAAAAUCAGCGGGGAAAGAAGACCCUGUUGAGCUUGACUCCAGUCUGGCAUUGUUCGGAGACAUGCCGGGGYGUAGCAUAAGUGGGAGGCGUGGAUCACGCGGUUGGCGUCGAGAGGCGUUGGUCGUGCCGCGGCGGCUUUGAAAUACCACUACUCGCAUCGUUUCCUUACUUACUCGGUGGUGCGGAACGCGUGCGGCGUGGUCCGUGGCGUUCGAGCGAGUCGGCGCUCGUCGCGGCGUUCGUCGUCGCGCGACGUCGGCUUCUCGUCGUCCGUAGUGACUCGUCGUAACGAUGAAUUCCCGGUCGAAUUAAGCGCGACUAACCUUCGCGGUUUUUCGCGCGAUCCGAUUCGAGGACACCGCCAGGUGGGGAGUUUGACUGGGGCGGUACAUCUGUCAAAGAAUAACGCAGGUGUCCUAAGGCCAGCUCAGCGAGGACGGAAACCUCGCGUAGAGCAAAAGGGCAAAAGCUGGCUUGAUCUCGGACGCUCAGUACGCGUAGAGACUGCGAAAGCAUCGGCCUAUCGAUCCUCUCGUCCCGAGCUGAAGAGUUUUCA